UACAUGGGGUGCAAACGUUGCUCGGAAUUAUUGGGCGUAAAGCGCACGUAGGCGGUUCGUUAAGUCGGAUGUGAAAGCCCUCGGCUCAACUGAGGAAGUGCACCCGAAACUGGCGAGCUUGAGUACGAAAGAGGAUCGCGGAAUUCCCGGUGUAGCGGUGAAAUGCGCAGAUAUCAGGAGGAACACCGGUGGCGAAGGCGGUUCUCUGGGCCUUACCUGACGCUGAGGAGCGAAAGCGUGGGGAGCAAACAGG
rnacentral:rRNA from 1 species